GACGUAGGGCGCGAGCGUUGUCCGGAUUUAUUGGGCGUAAAGAGCGCGUAGGCGGCUAGAUAAGUCCGGUGUGAAAGUCACAGGCUCAACCUGUGAAUGCCGCUGGAAACUGUCUGGCUAGAGUCCGGAAGGGGCGAGUGGAAUUCCUGGUGUAGCGGUGAAAUGCGCAGAUAUCAGGAGGAACACCAAUGGCGAAGGCAGCUCGCUGGGACGGUACUGACGCUGGAGGCGACGAAAGCGUGGGGAGCAAACAGG
rnacentral:rRNA from 1 species